AUGAACGCUGGCGGCGUGCUUAACACAUGCCAGUCGAACGAUGAAGCCCAGCUUGCUGGGUGGAUUAGUGGCGAACGGGUGAGUAACACGUGAGUAACCUGCCCUUAACUCUGGGAUAAGCCUGGGAAACUGGGUCUAAUACCGGAUAGGAGCGUCCACCGCAUGGUGGGUGUUGGAAAGAUUUAUCGGUUUUGGAUGGACUCGCGGCCUAUCAGCUUGUUGGUGAGGUAAUGGCUCACCAAGGCGACGACGGGUAGCCGGCCUGAGAGGGUGACCGGCCACACUGGGACUGAGACACGGCCCAGACUCCUACGGGAGGCAGCAGUGGGGAAUAUUGCACAAUGGGCGCAAGCCUGAUGCAGCGACGCCGCGUGAGGGAUGACGGCCUUCGGGUUGUAAACCUCUUUCAGUAGGGAAGAAGCGAAAGUGACGGUACCUGCAGAAGAAGCACCGGCUAACUACGUG
rnacentral:rRNA from 1 species